rnacentral:lncRNA from 1 species
AUGGCUAGUGAAGAGUCCCACUGGAUUGGGACUCUUCGACCAAGAGUCCUAAUACUUGGGAACUCUGAGUCCUACAUGUCUGAGACUCUAUGAUCGAGAAUCAGGAUUUUCUGAUCAUGAGUUCCACACAUUUUGGAUAUCGGGGUCAAGAGUUUCACUGAUUUGGGACUCUUCGAUCAGGAUUUCAUAUCGAUGGACUUUGAUGCCCGAUUGCCAAUCGGAUUUGGACUCAAUAUUUAUGAGAG